rnacentral:rRNA from 1 species
AAACGUCCCAGUUCGGACUGUAGUCUGCAACCCGACUACACGAAGCUGGAAUCGCUAGUAAUCGCGAAUCAGAAUGUCGCGGUGAAUACGUUCCCGGGUCUUGUACACACCGCCCGUCACACCAUGGGAGUCGGGAAUGCCCGAAGUCAGUGACCCAACCUAUUGGAGGGAGCUGCCGAAGGCAGGUCUGAUAACUGGGGUGAAGUCGUAACAAGGUAAC